rnacentral:rRNA from 1 species
AACGUAGGAGACAAACGUUAUCCGGAGUUACUGGGCGUAAAGGGCGUGCAGGUGGUCUGUUAAGUCUGGCGUGAAAGCUCUCGGCUAAACCGGGAGAGGUCGUUGGAUACUGGCGGACUAGAGGACGGUAGAGGUGUGUGGAAUUCCGGGUGUAGUGGUGAAAUGCGUAGAGAUCCGGAGGAACACCAGUGGCGAAGGCGACACACUGGGCCGUACCUGACACUAAGACGCGACAGCAUGGGGAGCGAACGGGG